GCGGACCCUGUGGAAAACGGGAUAAUGCUAGGUAGACGAUGAUUUAUUCGUAUCCUCUCUGAAAAUAAGAAGAUAUUAGCAAACAUUGAAGCCUAUUUUACAGAGGAAACCACGCUUGAAUAAUACCAAGAUAUACUUAACGAAGAACUAUAUAGAAAUCUACCUUCUACAGUUCCAAUCAGGGGGACAACUUCGACCGCCAAAAUUAAGAACGACACAAACAUGAGGUUCAACUCGGACAAACGGUACGCCUUCUCUCACGACUACGAAGUGAGCUUGGCUGGCAGACUACAAUGCUUAGUGUACACGGUUAUAACUAUAAUAUUCAUGUACGCUCUACAAGGAUGCCUAUUCAUCAUGCAGCUACAAGGGAAUCAAGACCGGCCCCCGGUGGUCCCGGCAAUUCCCGAAAUGAUACCCAGCGCUGAAAAUAUCGACUGUGAGUGUGAGAGCUGACCAUCGACCCUAUAUUUUGCCGAAUGAUGGUACAAGCCAGAAAUGAG